AACUGUUUGGUACCUCAGCUAGAUAUUUAAAUGUGUAAUUAAAAAUCUGGCAAUGUUUUUGACAUUAGCACAGCUAAAUGUAUGUAUUUCUGCCUUUCAAGUGAUGUUUAAGGUUACCUGUUUAUUUGAUGGAAAAGAAGUGGGUGCUUAAUGCCUUCAAACUUUGUUACUUAGUAAUGCAGAAUUAUUUCUGGUGGUGCUUUACUUGUUAACAGUGAUGUUUAGCAGUAGCGUGUGUGGCAUAUGGACAUAUCUAUGUGCAGCUAUUUAAUAACAACUCUAAGGAAUCCAGUUCCUUUUAUCCUGUUUGUUGUCUUGGACAGUUUUUUAUCAAAAUAAUAUAUACAUAGUAAAUAUUUUUCUCUUGUGACAACUUUUUUUCUGCAAAAAACAAUAUUGUAAUAAAAGCCAAGUCCAGAAAGUAUGGAUUGAUUGGGACACAAACCGUUUUAUUCUUUCAUUUGAGAAGGCUGAUAGCCUUUCACAAAAUCAUGUGGUUCAUAAUGAAUUAACCUCCUUCCUCUGCUGUGGUAAUGAAGUGAUUUUCGUAUUGUAUUGUAUUAUUUGCAUAUGCAAUUUUUCAGUCAAGUGAAGACUGUACAGCAUGGCUCAAAUACCUGUCUUGAUGGGGCAGCAUCAAUACUCUUGCAGCUGGCAAUGCACAGCAGCCUGCUCAGAAGGGAUCCAUAUGCCAUGCUGGCUGUGACAACCUCUUGAGACACACUGGCAUGAAGAUGAGCAGCAAAACAUGAGGUACUUCAUAUGGAACUAUUGAACUCUGCCUUUCUCCCUCAAGAUCCUCCCUACAGCAAGCAUGUCACCUGGAAAUAAAUUGCUAUGCAGCAGUGCUUAUUGAUUUUAUUUUAUUUUUUAAUCAACUAAUGUAUCAUCUGUCUUGACUUUUUACAGGUCAUUAUUACGUGUAUUGGAGCUUUCUAUCAUUUUACUACUUUGUAGUAAUUUACUGUGUACCGAUAUGAAAACCUGGAGAUUAUUUUAAAUUCUAAAGAUGGUAGAAAAUACCCUAUGAAGUGCUUCUCCAAAAAUCAAUCAUAUAGCACCUAAAAAAAAUGUGUAUUUACAUCGUUAAUUCAUCAUGGUUCUGAGUUUGACCGUUCAUCAGUCUGCUUCCUCUCAGUCCAGCCAGGAAACGCACCGAUGUUGAAGUAUCCAAGUCUAUCCAUUAGUUCUUCCAGCACCCACGCUUUCUGAUUGUUUGUCUGAAAGGGGGAUGGAGCUUCCUGGCACCAUGAAAUACGUGUUGGUGUUUGGGUGCUCUUCCAUGUCUUUAUCCAAAACUGAGACCGUGAUUACCAGCUGUGAAAUACAGAACAUCCUAUUAUAUGUAAUAGAAUUUUAUAUUUAUAUUUGGAUAUAAAUAUAAAUAAAUAUAUCCAAAUUUAUAUUUGGAUAUAAUUAGGUGUGUAUAAAAAUAUGUAUUUUAUGUCUGUAUGUAUCUCUGUAUAAAAUAUAUAUUCUGAUUAUAAUCAGU
rnacentral:lncRNA from 1 species